rnacentral:rRNA from 1 species
GACGAACGCUGGCGGCGUGCUUAACACAUGCAAGUCGAACGGAAAGGCCCUGCUUUUGUGGGGUGCUCGAGUGGCGAACGGGUGAGUAACACGUGAGUAACCUGCCCUUGACUUUGGGAUAACUUCAGGAAACUAGGGCUAAUACCGGAUAGGAGCUCCUGCUGCAUGGUGGGGGUUGGAAAGUUUCGGCGGUUGGGGAUGGACUCGCGGCUUAUCAGCUUGUUGGUGGGGUAGUGGCUUACCAAGGCUUUGACGGGUAGCCGGCCUGAGAGGGUGACCGGCCACAUUGGGACUGAGAUACGGCCCAGACUCCUACGGGAGGCAGCAGUGGGGAAUAUUGCACAAUGGGCGGAAGCCUGAUGCAGCAACGCCGCGUGCGGGAUGACGGCCUUCGGGUUGUAAACCGCUUUCGCCUGUGACGAAGCGUGAGUGACGGUAAUGGGUAAAGAAGCACCGGCUAACUACGUGC